rnacentral:lncRNA from 1 species
ACCACCCCCACCACCUGUCCCCAGCUUCAGAGGCCUGGACCUUGGGGACAGUCCUGGGCCACUGGAGGACAGAGUGGCCUGGCUUCACCAGAGGGCAAGGCUGCGGAAGGAGCUGGAGGCCCUGGAUGAUGUGGCACGGUGGCUGGAGAACAAGCCCAGCAUCUCGCCCUUAGAGGCCAAAGUCCUGCGCAUGCUUCAUAAGGAGCGAGAGGUCCAGAUCAUGAGCCAGGCAGAGGUCACCACAGCCACCAAGGUGGGAGUCCCCAUGAAGCAUCAGGAGAUAGAGGAUGUGGUGAUCUACCUGAGCUCCCUCGGGAAGCAGCACGAAAUCACCGUAGAGUCACUGGCUAUCACCUACAAGCAGUGGUCUCUAGCCCAGCUGAGAAGAAGCACACCGCCUACCACAUACAAGGGUUCCAUCCAGGCACAGAGCUCAGUGUCUCUGCAGCCAUACAAGAAGGACCUACUCACGGUGCCCGAGGUCCCUGUGCCCUCCGAGGCCCGGCCCCUGACACUGGAGGAAAUGGAAGAUGUAGGCAAGCACUAUCGCGAGCGCAGGCGGCAGCUCAAGCUCCCCAUCCCCUCCAUCCAGUACACGGAGAGCUGCCGCCUGGUGCGCAGUGGGGACUGGCACAUGGACCAGCACUGCCUGCCGUCCACGGUGCCUGGCGAGAGCCAGGAACUGCUGGAUGCAGCGCGCAGGGAUGGCUUCCUGCUCUACUUGCGCUGUGGGAGGCAGUGCGCGGCCUCAGGGCUGCCAGUGACAGAGGAUGUCCUCACCCGAGCACUGCUGUACCCAGGGGACAAGAUCGUCCUGCAGGAUACCCAAGUGCGCCCCAUCCGGCAGCCUGGUGGCUUCUACUCAGACUGGAGGGCCCUGGCCCCACACCUGGCCAAACAACAGAUGCAAGACCCAAAUCUGGGGCCCCAGAAGAGUAACAAGAAGGCACCACUGGACAGCAGGAGGACACCCUCUAAAGAGACCCAGGAGGUUACCAGGAAGCUGAAGGCGAGGAGACAUGGGGGUCUCCAGCGAACCCAUCCCAACGCCUUCUGGCCAGGCCACCUGCUGGAUAAGCUGAGGUUUUGCCUACCCUCAGAGACCACUGACCGGAGCCUGGCACUGUUCAGUUGCAUCCAGCCAUGCCUACCAGGCCACCUACCACCCUGACCGCUGGUGGCCCCUGAGGAAUGAGAACUACAUGACCCAAGCUUACUAUGAUUCCCCCAAAGUGUAUGCCAUCAACUAGACUGGGUGGUGUUACCAUGACAUGGCAGGGAUCCAGCCAGGUCAAAGACACAGUGUUAGGGUGGCUGGACCCCACAACCCUGUCCCAGAGGAGUGUCACUGCCGCACCUCUGGCCUUGGCCUUUGCAAAUAAAACAGCAAGAGCUU